rnacentral:misc_RNA from 1 species
AACGGCGCUCAUCCUCUCCCGCUGAUGGACCCCCUCAUCCCUCACCCCAUUACUACCUGCGACCCGCGCGCCAUCUGUUAGAAGCGAAGCUCCCUAAUCAAUUCCUCCAGCCCGCCCAUUGAACCUGUAUAUCCUCCCUAGAAUCCUUGAUUGAGACCGUGUAUCCUCUUGAUAAAGAAACCUUGGCGGGGGAGGACGAGCGUCGAUUCAAAGUAAGGAUUCUAUACUAAGUCUUGUAUAUUCCUUGAUUCAAACAUGGGAAAGAACACAAGCCGCAGCAGUUGUUGCCUUUGUGGCAAAAACAAGAAAACGCAUCCAGGGUUGAAGCUUCACGCAUUCCCCGAGAACGCUAAAAGAUGUUUGGAAUGGCAGAGGGUGUUGAAGGUGAAACUCGUGAAGAGGUCACAAGCCAUCUGUGGGGACCACUUUGAUGCAAAGUGGAUCGGGACCAAAGGGCAGCUACUUUCCAAUGCUGUCCCGACCCCCAUAGAUGGCUGUGAAGAAGACGAUGCCUCUUACACGGAAUAUUAUGAAGAUGACAUCAUCGAUGCCCCUGAGAUGAGGAACGCAAGCCUCGUUUCAAAAGAGCUGCCAUUCAAUCAGAAAUGUUCCACAAAUGAUGAGCACCUGGUCCCUCAGGCUACACAGUGCCACACCACAGGAAGGCAAGACUCAUUACAUCGACCAUUUUGAGACGUCUGUGAUGAGCAUCUAUGAUUUCUGCGACUACUUUCCAUCAGAAAUCAUUAUGUGUUGUAGCUGAAUCGAUGGGCACAGCAACACAUCCAGAAUAUAUAGGAUAAUUUUUAAGAGGUCCGAGAGAAUUAGCCAAAAGAAUGGAAUAAAUGUCUUGAAACCUCCCUUUUAAAUGAAGUCAAGGCCUAAACACAUUUGUGAUUUGUUGAUUCUACCUUAACUAGCUUUGCAAUUAGAGAGAGAGGGAGAGAGACUAGAGUGAAGGAGUAGAGGAAGAAGGUUGAAUAACAGAAGGCAGCAUGAUGUCACAAAAGUGAAGCCAGUGCUAUUGGUCCAUUGCUGUCCCUACCUUGCUGACAUCCAAAACAUUGCCGACUGUCCACUGAAAAUACAAGGGAACGUCCGAGUUACGCUUCUUAUUUUCCAUCUUAUGUCCAUCUUUCGAGGCUACCUAUCAUAUAUAUCACUUAAAAGACUCGUAAUAGUCAUGGCAUACCAUGGCAUGAAGAUUUAUGCAGUAAAUCAUACUUACAAAUGAGAUAAUACAGUGUUUUCCAGCUUUGAUGGACUGGGGUGAGAGGUGUGGAAGCUGUCUUUAAGGCAAAUGUAUGACUGAACAAGGUCAUGUACACAUGCAAAUAUACAUGUGCAUGUAGAUAUAAACAUGUACAUACACAUGUGUAUAUAAAUGAAGGAUGAAUAAAUUGUGUAUCAGGUGAAAGUUGGCCUGAAGGUUGAUUUUUCUAGGUAUAUUGACUAGCAAUUAAUUAUACACAUGUUAAAUACUUUCUCUCUCUCUCUUUCUCUUUAUAGCUUUUAUUUAGAAUUAUGUUUGAUUUUGUGUCACUGUACAUUGGAAAAACAUCAAUCACUGAAAUUUUACUUCGUUGUUUGUUCCUUGUCAUGUAAUAAAUGAGAAAAAGCAAUUUUUUUGCCAUAAGUUC